AGCUUACCAAUGGAGCCCACCCUUCCCCGGAGCAAGGUCACAGAAUCCCCUGUCCUGUGGGAGGAGAGCUUGGUGAUUUCUCAAAGUCCUUGCAGCUCUGACCUUCUAAGCCUGCACUCCUCUAGGAAGCCAGGUGAGAGAGCAGAGGAACUACCCUUCCAUAAGCCCACCCCAGGAACCCCAGGGAGGGGCCAGGUGCCUGGCCUUCUGAGUGUCUGUACCUGAAGAUGAAACGGGGUUACUUAGGUACUUCUUGGCAGUUCUGAAGUUCAGGACUGAACCUAGCUGCCUCUCCUGGCUAUGUCCGUCCAUUACCAUCACCACCUUGUCACCCUCCGUCUGGGGUCUGAGGCCAAGCUGGACACCUCUCCUUCCCGCGUCGAAGCUCAGAGGUGAGCCUCAGCUGACCCUCCCUCCAGCAAAUGUUUAGAGAAUGAGGUAAGCAUCCUCCACCAGUGACCGUCAGGCUGUCCACUGUCCAACCCAGACGUCCUCUCUGAGAGUGCUGCCAUUAGUCUCCAAACCCUCUGUCCUUUGAGCCUGAAUCCCCAGGGGGCUGUUCAUACUCCUCUUCCCUCUGCCACCUGGCUGGCCCCCAUCUUUGCUAGCCACCUCCUUCUUGCUCUCAGUUCCCCUCCUCAGGGAGGCCCUCACUGACCACCGCCAAGUCGCUCCCCACUGCAGCCUCCUGCUUCAUUUUCCUGACUGUGAUGUUGGAAAUGCUCGUUUGUGUGUUUGUUUACUUGUCACCUCUCUGCCUCCCCCAACCCCCAAAUGCCAGCUCUGUGAGGGAGGGGGUCUCACGCUGGUGUCCUCACUGCUUUGAGCGGUGCUGGGCACACAGUCAAUAUUAGUUGGUCGAGUUACUGAUAGAACAACGCUCUUGAUCCGGCUCCAGGGCAGAAAGGGGAGCUCACAGAGGAGGGGAUAUCCAGCUAACCCAGUGGGAACCAGACACGCUGGCAAACCCCAUCCCACGGGCUAGGCUUUCAGUUAACCCUCUCAUUCAUGCAUGAGGGGGUGCUUAUUAAGCCAUUUUCCAGAUAAGGCAAUGGAGGCCCAGAGAAGUGAAGUGACUUGCACAAGGCCACAUGGCUUGUAUGCUGCAGAGCUGGGUCUUGGCCUGGCUUUCUGAGAUCGACAGCCCUUUUCCUCUCCAGGGUUCCAAGGCUGUGAUUCCGAGAGAUCACCACACAGGGAAGGAAUCCUGACAGCCUGUGAAGUGCCUGGCACUGGGUCAGGUUAUUUGCCAAGGUUUGUUCAUGUGCCUGCUCUGUCUUCAUAGGUCUAUUUUACAGAUGUCAAACUGAGGCCCAGAGAGGCCUGGUGACUCGCCCUAGGUCACACAGUGCGGUGACAGCCAAUCCAGGACCGGUGCCCGGACUGCCACACCUCUCCAUGUGGUGGCGGUGAAGCUAAAUGGCCUGCUGCCUUGAUUUCCCCUUUGUGCCAUGAGGGUGUGGGCAGGCUGAUUUCUGACAUGGUGUAAUGUCAUCAGGGAGGCGGGACCUUGCCUGAGAAGCCUUAGGGCUGAAAAGGGAAGCGCAGAGUGGCUGUUUCCCCAUCCUGCCCGCUCUCCGCCCUGGCCCUGAGCCAGGUGGGCGGCCAACUCCCUUUGACCACUUCCUGGGGUAACUCCCCCGGAAAUGCCCCAGAUGCCCGCAGCCCAAGUAUAACUCCAACUUCCAGGCUCAGGACCCUCAUCCCUCACCUCCUCCUGCCAAGAUCACCCCAAGCAGAAACCAGUAGGCAUAAUAAUUAGGAUCAUAACAAACUCUACCUCACGGGGCUGACCCGAAGGGAUGAUGCAUAGCAGAACACAUGGCUCAGCUGGCCAGCCGGCAGGUCUUAGCAGGUCAUAGUGGCGGAAUGACCAGCCCACAAGUCUUAGCAGGUCGCAAUGGUGGAUGCAGGAUGUUUCUGCCUGACCAGCCUCCAUUCUCACUUCCGGUAAGACACCCCAAUUUUCUUUGGGGAAUCCAAUCCUCCAUUCUCAGUCCAUCUAAUUUGGGUCAGCUACCUCCAGGGGUGAAUGCAGUACCGAGCUUGGUCUAUCAGAGAGAGUAGUUCAUCCCCCCUGCUCAAGUGACUGGUCCAGGGAUGGGUAUGUGGUCUAAGCUAACCAUGGAGAGUCGAUUCUGUCAGAACAGUUUCUGCCUGGAUAUGACAAAUGUCGACCUGGAGCUGUUGGGGCCAUCUGGGCAGAAAGGCUGUCCGGGAAUGAAGUCAAAGAGAUGGAAAAAGAGAAAAAGAGGCCGGCGUCUGGGGUCAUGGUUUGAGCCCCCGAAUCCAACUGUACCUGAAGCCCUGUCUGUUUCAGAAACAGAAGGCAAUAAAUUCAGCCUUUGCCUUAAGCCCGUCAA
rnacentral:lncRNA from 1 species